rnacentral:misc_RNA from 1 species
GAACGCAUAUUGCACUUUCUGGUAUUCCGGAAAGUAUGCCUGUUUGAGGGUCAGUUAAAUAAAAAUCGGUGUUGUUGCUGCCCUUCGUGGUGACGCGUCGGAAUUGAGUUGUCUUACCUUCGGUUAAGUGACUUAAAAUUUUGUAUGAUUUUCGAACGUAUUUAAAUUUAUUUGAACGUUUGAUAUCGAAUGCUUAUUAGGUUCGGUCAUCCUCAUGACUCGCGCCUAUAAUUUUUCAUUAAAUGACCUCAAAUCAGGUAAGAAUACCCGCUGAACUUAAGC